CUACAAUGGCGUAAACAAAGGGAAGCGAGACGGUGACGUUAAGCAAAUCCCAGAAAUAACGUCCCAGUUCGGAUUGUAGUCUGCAACCCGACUACAUGAAGCUGGAAUCGCUAGUAAUCGCGAAUCAGAAUGUCGCGGUGAAUACGUUCCCGGGUCUUGUACACACCGCCCGUCACACCAUGGGAGUCGGAAAUGCCCGAAGUCAGUGACCCAACCGUAAGGAGGGAGCUCCCGAAGGUGGAGCCGGUAACUGGGGUGAAGUCGUAACAAGGUACC
rnacentral:rRNA from 1 species